rnacentral:rRNA from 1 species
AGAGUUUGAUUAGGGCUCAGAUUGAACGCUGGCGGCAGGCUUAACACAUGCAAGUCGAGCGGCAGCGGAAAGAAGCUUGCUUCUUUGCCGGCGAGCGGCGGACGGGUGAGUAAUGUCUGGGGAUCUGCCCGAUGGAGGGGGAUAACUACUGGAAACGGUAGCUAAUACCGCAUAAUGUCGCAAGACCAAAGUGGGGGACCUUCGGGCCUCACACCAUCGGAUGAACCCAGAUGGGAUUAGCUAGUAGGUGGGGUAAUGGCUCACCUAGGCGACGAUCCCUAGCUGGUCUGAGAGGAUGACCAGCCACACUGGAACUGAGACACGGUCCAGACUCCUACGGGAGGCAGCAGUGGGGAAUAUUGCACAAUAGGGGAAACCCUGAUGCAGCCAUGCCGCGUGUGUGAAGAAGGCCUUCGGGUUGUAAAGCACUUUCAGCGGGGAGGAAGGCAAUGGCGUUAAUAGUGUCAUUGAUUGACGUUACCCGCAGAAGAAGCACCGGCUAACUCCGUGCCAGCAGCCGCGGUAAUACGGAGGGUGCGAGCGUUAAUCGGAAUUACUGGGCGUAAAGCGUACGCAGGCGGUCUGUUAAGUCAGAUGUGAAAUCCCCGGGCUUAACCUGGGAACUGCAUUUGAAACUGGCAGGCUAGAGUCUCGUAGAGGGGGGUAGAAUUCCAGGUGUAGCGGUGAAAUGCGUAGAGAUCUGGAGGAAUACCGGUGGCGAAGGCGGCCCCCUGGACGAAGACUGACGCUCAGGUACGAAAGCGUGGGGAGCAAACAGGAUUAGAUACCCUGGUAGUCCACGCUGUAAACGAUGUCGAUUUGAAGGUUGUGGUCUUGAGCCGUGGCUUUCGGAGCUAACGCGUUAAAUCGACCGCC